rnacentral:rRNA from 1 species
UGUAUAAAGUGGCGAACGGCUGAGUAACACGUGGGCAACCUGCCCUUUGCACUGGGAUAGCCUCGGGAAACCGAGGUUAAUACCGGAUACUCCAUAUUUGUCGCAUGGCGAAUAUGGGAAAGCUCCGGCGGCAAAGGAUGGGCCCGCGGCCUGUUAGCUAGUUGGUGGGGUAGUGGCCUACCAAGGCAAUGAUGGGUAGCCGGGUUGAGAGACCGACCGGCCAGAUUGGGACUGAGACACGGCCCAGACUCCUACGGGAGGCAGCAGGG